rnacentral:rRNA from 1 species
AUGCAACGCGAAAACCUUACCCACCUUAGACAUGUAUGGAAGUUUCCAGAGAUGGAUUCGUGCUCGAAAGAGAGCCAUAACACAGGUGCUGCAUGGCUGUCGUCAGCUCGUGUCGUGAGAUGUUGGGUUAAGUCCCGCAACGAGCGCAACCCUUGUCAUUAGUUGCUACAUUCAGUUGGGCACUCUAAUGAGACUGCCGGUGACAAACCGGAGGAAGGUGGGGAUGACGUCAAGUCCUCAUGGCCCUUAUAGGUGGGGCUACACACGUCAUACAAUGGCCGGUACAAAGGGUCGGCAAACCCGCGAGGGGGAGGCCAAUCCAUCAAAAGCCGGUCGUAGUCCGGAUCGCAGUCUGCAACUCGACUGCGUGAAGUCGGAAUCGCUAGUAAUCGCGGAUCAGCACGCCGCGGUGAAUACGUUCCCGGGCCUU